GCAUUGGUGGCUCAGUGGUAGAAUUCUUGCCUUCCACGAAGGAGACCUGGCUUUGAUUCCCAGCCAAUGUA
rnacentral:tRNA from 1 species